CUACGGGGCGCACCAGUGGGGAAUAUUGGACAAUGGGGGAAACCCUGAUCCAGCAAUGCCGCGUGUGUGAAGAAGGCCUGCGGGUUGUAAAGCACUUUCGGUUGGGAGGACUGCUUCUAGCACUAAUAUUGUUGGAAGUUGACGUUACCUUCAGAAGAAGCACCGGCUAACUCCGUGCCAGCAGCCGCGGUAAUACGGGAGGGUGCAAGCGUAAAUCGGAAUUACUGGGCGUAAAGCGCGCGUAGGCGGCUAGAUCAGUCGGGUGUGAAAGCCCCGGGCUUAACCUGGGAACUGCGUCCGAUACUGUCUAGCUUGAGUACAGGAGAGGAGAGUGGAAUUCCACAUGUAGCGGUGAAAUGCGUAGAUAUGUGGAGGAACACCAAUGGCGAAGGCAGCUCUCUGGCCUGAUACUGACGCUGAGGUGCGAAAGCGUGGGGAGCAAACAGGAUUAGAUACCCGCGUAGUC
rnacentral:rRNA from 1 species